GCGCAGCCUGUUCUUCCGGGCCCGCAGAUUCCGCGCGCCCCCGCCGCCGGGGAUGGCGACAGUCCCCGCCCCGCCGGCUCCCCACGCCCUUCAGUGUGUUGGGCUGGGUUCUGGAGACCGAGCCGUGCGAUCUCGGACCCACGGCGAGGCGGGUCGGGUAGAGGGUCCGAGGAGCCCGCGCCAGACUCGGCCACCGCGACCUGCAAGGAGAUCAGCCCCCGGGGCCCCCGGAAGCCGCGCUUUCCCACCCCGAACUCGGGAGGCCACGGGAACACCACACCUUACCCCAGGGUCUCCAAACAUCUCACCUCCCGAGUAGCCCGCCAGCCAGUGCAGCGGCCCGGGACCGGCCACGUGCGUCCAGCGCCGCGUGUGCGCGCCCCGCCCCUGGGGAGGAGCCGGCGGGCCCCGGGCCACUCAGCCGGAGCCGCUGCGGGCCGCCGGCGACCCGGAGUUGCGGGCUUUCUUUCCUAGCCGCUCCCGCUCCCUCUGCUCUCUUCCCUCCCCGGGUUCUUCCCGUCUCCUCACCCUGCCCACCCGCCCCGGGCCGGGACUACACGCUGGGCGCCCAGGUCGUGGGACCGAAAUUCUUGGUGGUGACCGCGAGAGGAGGGUGCAAGAGAGCCCGGAGAACUGGAGAAAACUGCUCUGAUCUGACUUGACUUCAACCAGGAGCUGACACCGCAUAGUCAUAACCAGUGUUUACUAAGCUCUCACAGGAGGGUUGUGAGCUUUGGAUUCUAACUCGGCGUUGCUGUGGUCUCCCGGUUGGCCUUCUUCCCAAGGU